rnacentral:rRNA from 1 species
AUGGCGCUUGCAUCCGGGUUCUGCCCGCCGCCGUCGUACACCCCGGGUGCGUCCCAGCGCGCCCCCUUCUUCCUGGGCUUCGGCUUCGGCGGCGAGUGCUGCGACCCGUCGUUUGCCGACUACGAGGAGUACGCCCCAUCGAGCCCUUCGCCGCUCACGAGCUCCAAGGACUACACUCCGUCGACCCCCCUGCAGUCGCCGGAGCCGGACUACACUCCGGCGAGCCCCGACUACACUCCAUCAAGCCCAGACUACACUCCGGCGAGCCCAGACUACACUCCAUCAAGCCCCGACUACACUCCGGCGAGCCCAGACUACACUCCGGCGAGUCCUUCGCAGUCGCUCGAGUACACUUCGUCGAGCCCUGUUCGCCUCGCUUUCAUGAUGCCGCCUCCUCCGCGCGGCGCAUCGCCAGACUACACGCCCUUGACGCCGUCAGAGCAUGCUGCUACAUCACCUUACUACACUCCGUCGACUCCUCCCGGGCGCGCUUGUUCGCCUCCGUCCCCACUGGUGGUGUCUGACGCCGAGUCGUGCGCGUCGCCGUAUUACACGCCGUCAACUCCUUCAAGGCGGGCCGCGUCGCCGGACUACACGCCCAGCACGCCGCCUCCAUCGCCCCUGGCGUCAGAAGCAGACUCGACCACGUCUACAGCGCGCUGCCGCCACCAUCCGUACCAGAGGAGCGGCACUGGCCGGAUCAACCGCGGCGGACGUCAGCGAGCCUUGGCAUAUUGA